UNANACAUGCAAGUCGAKCGAACUUCGGGUUAGUGGCGGACGGGUGAGUAACGCGUGAGAAUCUGCCCUCAGGAGGGGGAUAACGGUUGGAAACGACCGCUAAUACCCCAUAUGCCGCGAGGUGAAAUGAAUUUCGCCUGAGGAUGAGCUCGCGUCUGAUUAGCUAGUUGGUGGGGUAAAGGCCUACCAAGGCAUCGAUCAGUAGCUGGUCUGAGAGGAUGAUCAGCCACACUGGGACUGAGACACGGCCCAGACUCCUACGGGAGGCAGCAGUGGGGAAUUUUCCGCAAUGGGCGAAAGCUGACGGAGCAACGCCGCGUGAGGGAUGAAGGCCUCUGGGCUGUAAACCUCUUUUAUCAAGGAAGAAGAUCUGACGGUACUUGAUGAAUAAGCCACGGCUAAUUCCGUGCCAGCAGCCGCGGUAAUACGGGAGUGGCAAGCGUUAUCCGGAAUUAUUGGGCGUAAAGCGUCCGCAGGCGGCCCUUCAAGUCUGCUGUUAAAAAGUGGAGCUUAACUCCAUCAUGGCAGUGGAAACUGUUGGGCUUGAGUGUGGUAGGGGCAGAGGGAAUUCCCGGUGUAGCGGUGAAAUGCGUAGAUAUCGGGAAGAACACCAGUGGCGAAGGCGCUCUGCUGGGCCAUCACUGACGCUCAUGGACGAAAGCCAGGGGAGCGAAAGGGAUUAGAUACCCCUGUAGUCCUGGCCGUAAACGAUGAACACUAGGUGUCGGGGGAAUCGACCCCCUCGGUGUCGUAGCCAACGCGUUAAGUGUUCCGCCUGGGGAGUACGCACGCAAGUGUGAAACUCAAAGGAAUUGACGGGGCGCCGCACAAGCGGUGGAGUAUGUGGUUUAAUUCGAUGCAACGCGAAGAACCUUACCAGGGUUUGACAUCCUGCGAAUCUCUUGGAAACGAGAGAGUGCCUUCGGGAACGCAGUGACAGGUGGUGCAUGGCUGUCGUCAGCUCGUGUCGUGAGAUGUUGGGUUAAGUCCCGCAACGAGCGCAACCCACGUCUUUAGUUGCCAGCAUUUAGUUGGGCACUCUAGAGAGACCGCCGGUGAUAAACCGGAGGAAGGUGUGGAUGACGUCAAGUCAUCAUGCCCCUUACAUCCUGGGCUACACACGUACUACAAUGCUACGGACAAAGGGCAGCAACUUCGCGAGGACAAGCAAAUCCCAUAAACCGUGGCUCAGUUCAGAUCGUAGGCUGCAACUCGCCUACGUGAAGGAGGAAUCGCUAGUAAUCGCAGGUCAGCAUACUGCGGUGAAUACGUUCCCGGGCCUUGUACACACCGCCCGU
rnacentral:rRNA from 1 species